UACGGAGGGUGCAAGCGUUAUCCGGAUUCACUGGGUUUAAAGGGUGCGUAGGCGGGCAGGUAAGUCCGUGGUGAAAUCUCUGAGCUUAACUCAGAAACUGCCAUGGAUACUAUUUGUCUUGAAUAUUGUGGAGGUGAGCGGAAUAUGUCAUGUAGCGGUGAAAUGCUUAGAUAUGACAUAGAACACCAAUUGCGAAGGCAGCUCGCUACACAGUCAUUGACGCUGAGGCACGAAAGCGUGGGGAUCAAACAGG
rnacentral:rRNA from 1 species